rnacentral:rRNA from 1 species
UACAGAGACUGCAAGCGUUAUUCGGAUUCACUGGGCGUAAAGGGUGCGCAGGCGGUUGGGUGUGUCAGAUGUGAAAUCCCGAGGCUCAACCUCGGAACUGCGUCUGAAACUACUCGACUAGAGUACUGGAGAGGGUAACGGAAUUCACGGUGUAGCAGUGAAAUGCGUAGAUAUCGUGAGGAACACCAGUGGCGAAGGCGCCUCACUGGCCGGUAACUGACACUGAGCUGCGAAAGCAAGGGGAGCAAACAGG